rnacentral:rRNA from 1 species
GACGAACGCUGGCGGCGUGCUUAACACAUGCAAGUCGAACGAAGAGCGAUGGAAGCUUGCUUCUAUCAAUCUUAGUGGCGAACGGGUGAGUAACGCGUAAUCAACCUGCCCUUCAGAGGGGGACAACAGUUGGAAACGACUGCUAAUACCGCAUACGAUCUAAUCUCGGCAUCGAGGAUAGAUGAAAGGUGGCCUCUACAUGUAAGCUAUCACUGAAGGAGGGGAUUGCGUCUGAUUAGCUAGUUGGAGGGGUAACGGCCCACCAAGGCGAUGAUCAGUAGCCGGUCUGAGAGGAUGAACGGCCACAUUGGGACUGAGACACGGCCCAGACUCCUACUGGAGGCAGCAGUGGGGAAUCUUCCGCAAUGGACGAAAGUCUGACGGAGCAACGCCGCGUGAGUGAUGACGGCCUUCGGGUUGUAAAGCUCUGUUAAUCGGGACGAAAGGCCUUCUUGCGAAUAGUGAGAAGGAUUGACGGUACCGGAAGAGAAAGCCACGGCUAACUACGUG